rnacentral:rRNA from 1 species
UUAAAUUGAAGAGUUUGAUCAUGGCUCAGAUUGAACGCUGGCGGCAGGCCUAACACAUGCAAGUCGAACGGUAACAGGAAUCAGCUUGCUGAUUCGCUGACGAGUGGCGGACGGGUGAGUAAUGUCUGGG